rnacentral:lncRNA from 1 species
ACAAUUGUAUAUUAUAAGAAACCCGGAAAAAAUUAAAGAAACAGAAAUAAUCUAUCUAUAUGGUAAUAUGAACUUCAAAUACACAAAAAAGCAAGCACACUUGCACCCUUACAUACAUACAAACAAAAUUAAACAAUUAAUAAAUCUUAUUCUAUUUUGUAUGAUCAUUACUAUGGUAAACAAGGCUUAAAUGUGCUCACCACCUUCUUUACUCGAUCAACCAAUGAAGUACAAGACACAAUGCCAUCAUUCCCAGCCAAAACCCUAUAUUUAUCUUUCCGAGUAAAGUUAGUGCACUCAAACCCUAGAGUUGCAGCCAAUAUCCUCUGAACAUAAUUGGCCACAUCGUGUGGACUCUUCCCGGACGAACACGUCGCUUCAACCGGCAACUGGUUCAAGAAUGUAACCUCAUAAACUGGUCUUGGGUUCAUGAAGAAGAAAACCGGGUCCAAACCUUUCCAACCCCUUGCAGUGGUUGCAUGGAAGAACCCUACUCUAUAGUUCAUGGCGACCGGUACUAUCCGGUCAGUUAGCUCGGCAAAUAGAGCACUAAAUCGUAAAAGGAAAGGCUCGCGACAUGUUGUUCCUUCUGGACAGACAACUAAAUCUCCUUUGGAUAACUCAUAUUUUAUUCUCUCAGCGUCCACAUUUCGCAUCCUGGUUAGUCUCACGGUAGGAAUGGGGGAGAGGAUUUCCGAUAACCGAGAAAUAGAGUAUGUUACCGCGGGGGUUUUACGUUGAAGGACGGAAGAGAGGACAACAGGGUCCAUUAGAGUGCGGUGAGUACACACGAAAAGGACACCGGGACCGCCUGCGGUGGGAGGGAAAGGUGGAUUUCCCUUCACAAUAACUUUGCCACCAAAUAACCUUGACAUGUGAGGAAUGGCCCAAAAAGGUAAAAUGGCUCCCAAGGUUAACCUGAUUAUGGCUAGUAAAAUACCUAUUGGGAUCCAAAGGAUGAUUAGUAGGGAGGUGAACGGUGUUGGUCGUUUCACCAAUCGGCCGUCGUGGAAGAUCACCGGAUGAGGUCGGAGAAGUUGGCUAUCAUUGUGCUUUUGGCUUGUCCUAAAUGGUGGUUGCAUUUUUACCUUGCAAAGUUUGGAGAAAGAAUGAUUGCUUGAUGUAGUAGUACUAAACCUUAACAUACCCAAAUUUGGAACUUGGUUAUUGAAAAGUUUAGCAACUCUUUCAGAAACGGAAGUAAUUGAUUCACUUUGAACAAAUCCUGUAGCUAAACCAAACCUAUUGAAAACCAAUUCACUUCCAAUUACUUCAUCUGCACGUAAAUGUUCCUCAACAAACCUCUUCACCAUAACUCCUGGCAUUUUUGUUACCACAACGCUUUUCGCGUAAGAGCUAAAAAUCUUCCAAGCUUCCAUGUCAAGAUCAUCCAUGAAGAAUUUUGGUAAAACAGCUCUUGAAACUGAUUCAAUCUCAGAUUUAUGAAUUCCAGCUACGGCUACAAAGAUCAUUAGCUUGAGACUUAUGUCCUCCAUGCCGAACAUGUCUAGGAACCGAAUCACGGGCCAUAGGAUUAACAGAAGAACGAAGCGAAUCAAACCUGAGGCCUCAAAUGCUACUAACAUGAAGUAGGAGAAUACAUCUGAGUUUUUUAGAAGUGUGCCUUCUAAUUCAGAGACAACAGAAUCCAUUAGAUGAACAAUAUUGUGUUUUUUUUUUUGUG